GCAUUUUCACUUUCUGGACUCGAUUUUAAAAAAAUAACUGCAACCAGACCAGAGCUCCAAAUGCUACGUUUUAUAUAUCAAAUUAAAGAUAAUUGAGUCUACUUUCCAGGAAAAAAAACCUCAUGUCAUUUAGAGCUCUGUAGAAAAAGUUAUGGUUAAAACAUUGAGCAAAGGUCAGAGCUGCCUAGUUCCAGCGUGAAUUUUCGUUUUUACCGUUUUAAUUUCAUUUUAAUUUUUCCGCAUCCACAAACGAC
rnacentral:lncRNA from 1 species